GGGUAGUAAGAAUCUUUCUUACCGAUAGAUUGACCAGGGAACUGAUCAACAAGUGUGACAAUGUCUUCGUCCUUGAUCUUGUCAGUUCUGAAGAUACCCUUGCAGACACCGAUACGGUCUUCACGGGUCGGGGCCCAGUAGAACUUCUCCAUACGUCCAUCACGGAUGAGAGGAGCGUAUAGGGUGGAGAAAUCGUUACCAGUGCAAAUGAUGGGGACACGUGCGUUCUCUUCCUUGUUGUACAUUCCUGGGAGCUGGACGUUGGUUGGGUUAUCAGCAAUGUUCAUGAGUGUUGCGUUAACCAUCUGGUUGUUGACAGUGUACUGAGUAGUACCACCCAUACGACCCGCACCAGCGUCAAGAUCGUUGAUGAAGAGACAACACAUCUUUCCCUUCUUGAUCAAGUCAGCUGCCUCACGGUACCUCUGACGGAUAAGCUUUGCGGGUUCUCCUGCGUUUCCACUCUCAAGCUCUCCAGCACUCAUCAUGAUUGGGCUGCAAAAAGAUUCAAACUUUUUUAGAUUCUUGUCGAAAGAGAGCUAAACAGAAACCGGGUCAAGAUCGGAGAUUUGGGAAAUGGACUCACUUGAUACCCAUCUUGGCCAUGACAAGCUCACACUGGAAGGAUUUACCUUGACCUUUGCCUCCCCAUAUACCCAAAAUAAGUGGAACCUAUGAGACAAAAAAAACAGGCAUUUAAAGAUCAAUAAAGUUGUGUAAUAAGUCAAGAUUGCACCAAAAAAUACUCAAAAGAAAAACUUUAAAUUA
rnacentral:sRNA from 1 species